rnacentral:rRNA from 1 species
UACGUAGGGUCCGAGCGUUGUCCGGAAUUAUUGGGCGUAAAGCGCGCGUAGGCGGCCCCGUAAGUCCGUUGUGAAAGUCAAAGGCUCAACCUUUGAAAGCCGAUGGAUACUGUGGGGCUAGAGUCCGGAAGAGGCGAGUGGAAUUCCUGGUGUAGCGGUGAAAUGCGUAGAUAUCAGGAGGAAUACCGGUGGCGAAAGCGACUCUCUGGACGGCAACUGACGCUGAGGCACGAAAGCGUGGGGAGCAAACAGG